rnacentral:lncRNA from 1 species
UCUCUUCCUCUUUCUAUUUAAAUUCAAUAAUAUGUAACCAUUAAUAAUAAUUAAUUAUAAGUCUUCAAACAUUAAUUUAUUUUCUUAUGCCAACAAUUAAACUUUAGUGGCUUAAAUAUAUCAAUUAAUUAAUAUAGGAAGGAAUGUUCCUUCAUCUUCCCUCAAUAAUGCCAUUAGGGUCUAAUUUUAAUGCUAUAAUCUCAUAUUUAAUUAUGUAACCUUUUGUUUAG